CUAGCUUUCUCAAUUCUUUGUAAAUAUCUGGAUUCUCUUUUUCAUAGAGUCGUAGAAUACGUUCAAAGGUUUCACGCAGCUUUUUACGCUUGUCUUUCAGUACUUUCUCAUUUAAUUGUGGCUGUUGCACUGGGUUAAACUCCAUUUCAUCCAAUUUCUCCAUGUCUCGGAUUAUCUGUUUUGGAUCCUUCAUCUUUAAAACUGCAGCUCGAACCAUCAUGCGCUGUUUUUUGUUCUUCUUUAAUUCUCUCUUCCGGGCUUCCUUUCGGGCUUGGUCUGUGGGGUUCAUAAAUUUUCCACUCUUGGUGGAUGAUGUAGAUCUCCGUCCCAUGUUGACAAUUUGUAUGGUUUACUUGUUCAUUAAAAAAAGAAAAACACUUCUGCUGUGCUCCCAGGACUACGAGAAGCGGGUAGGGGGCGACUCCCGGCCUCUUUCACUUCGUAAAGGCCUUCAACUGGGUCUCUCGGUCAACCCCUC
rnacentral:lncRNA from 1 species